rnacentral:tRNA from 1 species
GGAGAGUGAAGGGUGCCUGGUGGCCCCCGCGGUCUUCAAAACCGUUGUCGGCCCGCCUUGAGGCGGGUGAGGUAGGUUCGAUUCCUGCCCUCUCCG